AGCAGCCGCGGUAAUUCCAGCUCCAAUAGCGUAUAUUAAAGUUGUUGCAGUUAAAAAGCUCGUAGUUGAAUUUCGGGAUCAAAUUGUUGGUCGUGCUUCGGUACGCACUGGCAUUAUUGGUUCCUACCUUCUGAAGAACCGCGAUGUCAUUAAUUUGGUGUCGUGGGGAAUCAGGACUGUUACUUUGAAAAAUUAGAGUGUUUAAAGCAGGCUUACGCUUGAAUACAUUAGCAUGGAAUAAUGAAAUAGGACGUUUGAUUCUAUUUUGUUGGUUUCUAGGAUCGACGUAAUGAUUAAUAGGGAUAGUUGGGGGCAUUAGUAUUCAAUUGUCAGAGGUGAAAUUCUUGGAUUUAUUGAAGACUAACUACUGCGAAAGCAUUUGCCAAGGAUGUUUUCAUUAAUCAAGAACGAAAGUUAGGGGAUCGAAGACGAUCAGAUACCGUCGUAGUCUUAACCAUAAACUAUGCCGACUAG
rnacentral:rRNA from 1 species